UUACAUAUUCAAAUAAUUGUCUGCUAAUUUGGGAUAAGUUUGUUUUAAAAAUGUGUUUGUUGUAAAAAGCUGCAUUAAUGCAAUUCUGAAAUCUGUGAUCUGCCAAAGGAUCAUCUGUGAGUGAAUAAAUGCUUACCAUAAUCACAAACGCUCUGGUUAAUAUGUCUUAUUUACAAUUAUUUAAAUUAUUUUUAAUUUCUUUAAUUUGUGCAUGUUUUCAAUGCAUUUCUGGUAUGAAAAAUUGCAAUUUCAAUCUUUAGAAAGAUGAAAAACAUUUAAAAUCAUUUAUACAAACAACCCUGUAAUGAAUUUGGUAGCUGCUGACAGCAGUAUCAUUAUCCCAUAUUAUUUGAAUAUCCAAGCAGUAUACACUCACCUUAAGGAUUAUUAGGAACACCUGUUCAGUUUCUCAUUAAUGCAAUUAUCUAAUCAACCAAUCACAUGGCAGUUGCUUCAAUGCAUUUAGGGGUGUGGUCCUGGUCAAGACAAUCUCCUGAACUCCAAACUAUAGUGCGAACUACGGGGGAACUAGGGGGAGCUCGGCUCCACUUAAUAAGACAUGGGCUCCCCUGAAAACGAGAAACGUGAAAUUUUGGGGGGUCUCAAAAAAUUGACAAUGUGAAUAUUUUGAAGUGCAAUUUCAGUUGUGUAAUGUGAUCAUGAUGGAUUAUUAAGUGUAAAACAGCAAAAAUAUUAUUCAUUCAUGCAUGACGGCGAUUAAAACCUAAUUUACUUCAAUAAAGAUUACUAUACAUGCUAUUCUUGUAAUGAGCAUCAAGGUGUGGGGGCGCUGCGCUGCAAAUUCCACAUAUGUUAGUACGUCAUAGAUUCGUAGAAAAAAUAAACGUUGGAGGCCAUUUAUCGCGCGCAAAGUCCUUAAUUCAUUCUGCAGUUAUAGCAUCAUAGCCAUGGCAAAAAAGAAAACAAGGCAGUUUAAUUAAUUUUGGUUUUAUUAAGAAAUUGUGUAGUGAUGACGUUAAUAGCACGACUGAUUCACCUGCUGCAAGCACUGUUAGACCUCCCGCCGCGCCCACUGUGACAACGCAAGAAGCUGAAGAAAAGUCAUCUCUGGCUGAAGAUGGCUCACUCCCAGCAUGCUUUGCAUUCAGCCUCUUUGAACAACAGCAACAUCAAGAGGAUACAUUAAAUGCCAUUUUUGCUUCCAAGAGGCACAAUUCAUUAAAAAAGCCUCAUUUGUUGAUCUUCUAUGGAAAUGGUUGUACUUCUACAUACACGUUUAAAACCUUAAACACCUUUAGUCAGUAUCUCAUAAUAAUAAUGAUGACAAUUAUAACAAUCAGAGCAAUAAUUACAGAUUAGCUAUAAUAAUGCAUAAUGUCUUAAAUCUACUCUUUAGAUAUUUUCCUUCUCUUUCUCCUCCCUUGUUCAAAAAGUUCCUCAACCAUCUGCAUUCGCCCCAUUACACUGUCCCCAACAUACAGCAACUUAAAUAUUUACAAUGAUUAAUUUACAACCAAUGGCUCUGCCCAUUCAUCAGUUUGUCCUUUUUGGAGAUAAAAAGCUCGUGGCACAGGGUACAUUUGUCCAGUGAGUUUAAAACAGGCUCUGUGCCUGGACUGUCCCG
ensembl:lncRNA